rnacentral:rRNA from 1 species
ACGCUCGACACCUACUGGAGGCAGCAGUAGGGAAUCUUCCACAAUGGGCGCAAGCCUGAUGGAGCAACACCGCGUGAGUGAAGAAGGGUUUCGGCUCGUAAAGCUCUGUUGUUGGAGAAGAACGUGCGUGAGAGUAACUGUUCACGCAGUGACGGUAUCCAACCAGAAAGUCACGGCUAACUACGUGCCUAGCAGCCGCGGUAAUCUGAGCGGGCUGGCAAGGC